UACCUAAGUCUUGACCAAAUUACGUGCCAGCAGUCGCGGUAAUACGUAAAAGACUAGUGUUAUUCAUCUUUAAUUGGUUUAAAGGGUACCUAGACAGCGAAUAAAGCCAUUGUAGGGACUGAUUCGCUAGAGUUACUUAUGAGGGGGUAUUAAAGUACUGCAGGUGUAGAGAUGAAAUUUUGUUAUACCUCUUUUCGUAUGAGAAACUAUGGCACAGGUAUAGGUGAAAGCAUCCCCUUAUGUGAUAACUGACGUUGAGGGACGAAGGCUUUGUAUGCGAACAGGAUUAGAUACCCCAAUAGUCAAAGCAGAAAAUGAUGAAUGUCAUAGAUUAGAUAUACAAUUUAUUCUAUAAAUGAAAGUGUAAGCAUUCCACCUCAAGAGUAAUUUGGCAACAUUGGAACUGAAAUCAUUAGACCGUUUCUGAAAC
rnacentral:rRNA from 1 species